rnacentral:misc_RNA from 1 species
GAUGAAGAACGCAGCGAAAUGCGAUAAGUAAUGUGAAUUGCAGAAUUCAGUGAAUCAUCGAAUCUUUGAACGCACAUUGCGCCCCCUGGUAUUCCGGGGGGCAUGCCUGUUCGAGCGUCAUUUCACCACUCAAGCCUCGCUUGGUAUUGGGCAACGCGGUCCGCCGCGUGCCUCAAAUCGACCGGCUGGGUCUUCUGUCCCCUAAGCGUUGUGGAAACUAUUCGCUAAAGGGUGUUCGGGAGGCUACGCCGUAAAACAACCCCAUUUCUAAGGUUGACCUCGGAUCAGGUAGGGACACCCGCUGAACUUAAGCAUAUCAAUAAGCGGAGGA